UCCGAUAUGGUGUAACGGCUAACAUUGCCGCCUUUCAUAUGAUGUGCGGUGUAGGAUUCACGCGGCAGCUCGGGGUUCGAUUCCCCGUAUCGGAA